GACGAACGCUGGCGGCGUGCUUAACACAUGCAAGUCGAACGGAAAGGCCCUGCGUUUGUUUGUUGCUCGUUUGGCGAACGGGUGAGUAACACGUGAGUAACCUCCCCCUGACUGUGUGAUAACAUUACGAAACUGGGGCGAAUACCCGAUAUGAUCUUCUGCUGCAUGGUGUGGGUUGGAAAGAUUCGGCGUUUCUGGCUGGACUCGCUGCUUAUCAGCUUGUUUGUCGGGUAGGUGCUUACCAGGGCUUUGACGGGUAGGCUGCAUGGGAGGGGGACCGGCCACAUGGGGCCUGCGAUAGGGACCAGAAUGCAACGGUAGGCAGCAGUGGGGAACCUUGCAGAAUGGGGGGAAGCGUGAUGCAGAAACCCCGCGUGCGGGAUGACGGCUUUCGGGUUGUAAACAGCUUUGGAAUGUGACGAAGCGUGAGUGACGGUACUGGGUAAAAAAGCCCCGGCUAACUACGUG
rnacentral:rRNA from 1 species